rnacentral:rRNA from 1 species
CGGGGUGCACCAGGCGCGAAAACUCUACAAUGCAGGCAACUGCGAUAGGGGAACAUCGAGUGAUCCUCAUAUUGGGGGUCUGUCCACUCGCCUAAAAAGCGGGUGUUAGCAAGGGCCGGGCAAGACCGGUGCCAGCCGCCGCGGUAAUACCGGCGGCUCGAGUGGUGGCCGAUAUUAUUGAGUCUAAAGGGUCCGUAGCCGGCUUUGCAAGUCUCUCGGGAAAUCCAGCGGCUUAACCGUUGGUCGUCCGGGGGGUACUACAUUGCUUGGGACUGGGAGAGGUAGGAGGUACUCAGGGGGUAGGAGUGAAAUCCUGUAAUCCUUUGGGGACCACCGGUGGCGAAGGCGUCCUACCAGAACAGGUCCGACGGUGAGGGACGAAAGCUAGGGGCACGAACCGGAUUAGAUACCCGGGUAGUCCUAGCCGUAAACGAUGCUCGCUAGGUGUCACAACAGUCGUGAACUGUUGUGGUGCCGUAGGGAAGCCGUGAAGCGAGCCACUUGGGAAGUACGACCGCAAGGUUGAAACUUAAAGGAAUUGGCGGGGGAGCACAAGGGCGAUUG